UACCUGGUUGAUCCUGCCAGUAGUGUAUGCUUCUCCUAAAGACUAAGCCAUGCAUGUCUCGGAAUAGAAGAGCAAGUCUCUCUGAAUCUGCGAACGGCUCCGCAUACCAGUUGUUGUAAACAAUAGCAAGCCGCGUUUGUUGCCGCAAGGCGACGGCGCGGUUCACAGGGAUAACCCUGGUAAUUCUGAGGCUAAUACAAGAACGUACCACCCGCUUCGACCCGUAAGGGGAGGGCGGGGGUUGUGUGACCCAGGUCGCAAAUAUUAACUGGGAGUGGCAACACGAUCUGACCACCAUACCAAACGGUUAUCCGCUUCGAAAGCUUCGGUGAGUAACGGCGGAUUUCUGGGUGGCUCUCGCUGUGUGCUUCUGACCUAUCAACUAGAUGGCAGCGUAGGAUGCUUGGUUGCAACGGGUACAGAGGAUUAGGGUUCGAUCCUGGAGAGUGGGCCUGAGANCUUUCUCACACUUCUAAGGAAGGCAGCAGGCGCGCAACGUUCCCCUUGGGCAAUGCUCGAGGGCGUUAGGGGACAUAUGAAUGCUUGCCAAUGGUAGGCAAUUCAAAUGGGUCUGUUCUAAACAGCCUCUCGAGUAACAAUUAGAGGACAAGUCUGGUGCCAGCACCCGCGGUAAUUCCAGCUCUAAUAGCGUACGUUAAAGUUGUUGCGGUUAAAACGCUCGUAGUCGGCUUCAGACCGUCACGAUUCCGGAACGGGCCGGCCGGUAGUUGCCUCAAGGCGCUCUGGUUGGUCUGUGACGGCUGACGGCGGUCAAACGCGCCUCAGGCUGUCCUUCGGGUCACAGGGCCGGGUUCGCCCGGCUCGGCUUGGGGUGCCACUUACCAUGACUAAUCCGGACCGAUUCAGAGACGUCUCUCGAUCUGGUACGGCACAGCAUCGGANNACUACACUGGUCCCAGAAUCCGUGCCGUGCCGGUGGUAAAGCGAGGUAAGGUGUCAGGGGGCACCCAGUGCCCGGUUUCGGCCGGGAACGGAAGGAGCUCCCUUAAGACUAUAAAUGAUACUGACCAGAGAUAGGAUUCUGUCCAUCUCGACUUCUCCUGGAUCUUAGGGAAACUAUAGUCUUUGAGUUCUGGGGGGGAGUAUGGUCGCAAGGCUGAAACUUAAAGGAAUUGACGGAAGGGCACACAAAGAGUGGAACCUGCGGCUUUGUACACACCGCCCGUCGCUGCUACCGAUUGGGUUUUGCGGUUACGCGUUCCGAGAUCGGGUGUCCUGUCUGCCUUCGGGUAGGUAGUAGCCUGAGAUAAGUUCUAAUUACCGCACGGUCUAGAGGAAGCAGAAGUCGUAACAAGUAAUCG
rnacentral:rRNA from 1 species